UACGUAGGGUGCAAGCGUUGUCCGGAAUUAUUGGGCGUAAAGAGCUCGUAGGCGGUUUGUUGCGUCGGCUGUGAAAUCCCGAGGCUCAACCUCGGGUCUGCAGUCGAUACGAGCAAACUAGAGUGUUGCAGGGGAGACUGGAAUUCCUGGUGUAGCGGUGAAAUGACGCAGAUAUCAGGAGGAACACCGGUGGCGAAGGCGGGUCUCUGGGCCGAUACUGACGCUGGAGGAGCGAAAGCGUGGGGAGCGAACAGG
rnacentral:rRNA from 1 species